rnacentral:rRNA from 1 species
AUGGUUAUUUUUUCUUGUUAUUAUGCAUUACUAUUGAUUCAUGUGCAUGUGCUAAAAAGAAAGAAAAUACCCUACUGGAUGCGGAUGCGGACGCCAACUAACAAGUUUUCACUUUCUGACGUGGGCGCAGGGGUGAUCGACGUGGACUACCAUCGCCUGGUGGGCGUCGUGCUCUUCAACCACUCAGAGGCAGACUUCAUCGUGAAGCCGGACGAUCGCGCCGCACACAUGAUCGUCCAGGUCAUUGCAACGCAGGAGGUCGCCGAGGUGGACGACCUCGACGCCACCGUCCGCCGGGAGGGACUGCUCAGAUCCACCAACGUUUCAACUCCGAAACUUGGUAGAUACAUCUAG